rnacentral:rRNA from 1 species
AGUGAACGCUGGCGGCAGGCCUAACACAUGCAAGUCGAGCGGCAGCACGGCAAUAGCAAUAUUGUGGGUGGCGAGCGGCGGACGGGUGAGGAAUGCAUCGGGAUCUACCCUGUCGUGGGGGACAACGUAGGGAAACUUACGCUAAUACCGCAUGAUCUGGAGACAGCAAAGCCGGGGACCCGCGAGGGCCUGGCGCGAUGGGAUGAGCCGAUGUCCGAUUAGCUAGUUGGCGGGGUAAAGGCCCACCAAGGCGACGAUCGGUAGCUGGUCUGAGAGGACGACCAGCCACACUGGAACUGAGACACGGUCCAGACUCCUACGGGAGGCAGCAGUGGGGAAUAUUGCACAAUGGGCGAAAGCCUGAUGCAGCGACGCCGCGUGGAGGAUGAAGGAUUUCGGUCUGUAAACUCCUGUCAGUAGGGAAGAGAAUGGACGGUACCUACUGAGGAAGCUUCGGCUAACUACGUGCCAGCAGCCGA